rnacentral:rRNA from 1 species
CAGUCGCCGCGGGAAUACGUAGGGUGCAAGCGUUAAUCGGAAUUACUGGGCGUAAAGCGUGCGCAGGCGGUUUGUUAAGACAGAUGUGAAAUCCCCGGGCUCAACCUGGGAACUGCAUUUGUGACUGGCAAGCUAGAGUGUGGCAGAGGGGGGUGGAAUUCCGCGUGUAGCAGUGAAAUGCGUAGAUAUGCGGAGGAACACCGAUGGCGAAGGCAGCCCCCUGGGCCAACACCGACGCUCAUGCACGAAAGCGUGGGGAGCAAACAGGAUUAGAUACCCCUGUAGUCCCUGUCUCUUAUAC